GAUUCAGUCAAAAGUCGGAACAAACCGGUGAAAAAGAGAUUGUAAAUGAGUUUGGAGCAUUUCUAGACCUGCCCAUACUGCCCACAUUGGGGGAAGUUGGAGUUGAAGUUACAGCCAUCGCCGGUCUGACAGAUUUCUUUGUACAGAUUAAAAGAACAACAGAACAAUCAUUGAUGGAUAUUCAAAUUGAAUACGAGGCAAUGUUUGAAGAAAUCCAAAAGGAAGCACCCUCUGGUCGUCCUCUUCUAGAACCCUUAAGAAUCGGUCAAGAAUGUUGUGCCUUAUACGAAGAUGACAACUGGUAUCGAGCAGUGAUCGUGGCUAAAUUUCCUGAAAACGAAGAAUUGGUCAUGGUUCGAUUUAUUGAUUUCGGAAACAAGCAACCAACUCCCACCAAAAAUUUGAGGCCUGUGAAAAGAAAAUGGAUGGACAUUCCCAGACAAUGUAUCAGUGUAAGAUUAGCAGACAUGAAAAAAGCAGAUGGUGUGACAGGGGAGGCGCUUAAAGAAGCAUUCGAACUCCUGCAGAAGAUCAUCUUCUGUCCGCUGAGGGCUGUAAUAAAGGAACUAUCAAACCCGAUGCUUGUCCUGCUUUUCAAAGACGGAACAGAGGAACCAGUCUGUCAACCUUUGAUAGAUGCAGGUUUCUUCCAAAGGGUGGACUGAAAACCUGCCUGACUUGGCAUCUCACCAUCAUCAUUACUUGAUAGUUUCUCACAAUUAUUGAUUGAACCAUUGGUCUCGCCCCCCUCCGAUGUGAAUUUAGUAUCGGUCAUUCAUCAAGGUCCUCUUUAGUAUUAAAUUUAUCAAUUGUGAUUUUUAGGCCGAUACAUUUACUAGGUUGAUUGAAGACCGCUAAGUAAUGUUCCUCUGUCAGAUUUCUAAAGUUUGGCUAGUGAAAUGAGAAUCUCUUCUACCAAUGGAUUAACAUGGGGUCAAAUUAUCAGAUCAAAGAAAGAUUUGAAUGUUUUGUUUUUACAAGAGUUCUUAAAAGUUUCUAGAAAAUUGAGAUAAGUUUUAGCCAUAACUUCUCAUAGAUUUAAGCGAUCUCAUUUCGCAAUGGCUUUCUACUUUGCAUCUCGUUUAAUAUGUAUUAAUUUCAAUUUUUCAGUCUUGUAAUCGCUCCUCUUUGUUUGUGCACUACUAUUUUCAAGAGGAGCUCUAUUGUGAUAAAUUCAGGCAAUUGCGUGCAUAAUGUAACCAUAUAGUCGUGCAUGCUUUGGCUGAAAGAAGAUUCAUAAUCCUUGACUUGUUGUUUUAAUUGUUCAUUUAUUUAGAAUUAAAUUUCUGUUAAGUUCCCUUUUGUCAACUGAAUAACCUUGAAGCUGUGGAACUGUAGGUAAUUGGAGAAAGCUCCCCAAUGUGUUAUCUGGAGUGGUGACAAGAAAAGUUGCCAUUGAAUUGCUGAUCAAGGGAAGCUGUGCGUCUAGUUUAUUUUUUUACUUCUUUUGACUCAGGUUUUUAUGCUUUUUUGGAGGAUCUUUUUUUUACUGUAUUUACCUAAUUAUUAACUUAACUGAAGUUGUAUUUCUCUCAUUUGUUUUGAUCUUAAGAACACUAUACCACAAAUAGUGUUGCAUUAUUCUUGCUAAGAACUGAUGUUUGAAGGCACUAGCCACAAUUGUCCUCAUCCAGGAUUCGAAUCGAGUCAGCACCCUCUCUAACAGAGGUAGUCCUUACAUGCCUUGUGAUAUGGUUAAUUCUAGGAGUGUUCCAGUGUUUUUCUUUAAUUUCCUUAUUAUUAUUUUUACUGUGUCGUAGUUACUCUUAUCUUUACGUCAUCAAAAAUCUUUUUGUUCUCAUUAAAUAUUUCUCUAAGAAGAAGUACCAAACUAUGUUUUUUUUUUCUGUGCCUCUCAUCCUCAACUUAGGCUACCAAUUGAACAAAGUAAUGUAUCAGACAGGAUCAAAUUUUCAAUAUGCUGAUGAAAGUGGUCAAAAUGUAUCCUUUCUGUAG
rnacentral:lncRNA from 1 species